UUUGUUUCCAGCGCCUCCUAAAUUAGUGACAAUGGAUGGCAGUUUCACUUGAUUUGUAUCACUGAGGUUUACAUCAUACCAACGCUGAAGUUGAUGAAGUUGUUCUUCUCCAGAAAGAAUUCUUUUCGACAAAUAGUGAUGAAUACAUAGAUAAGUAUUGUAGGAGAGGCCAUUCACACAUUUGCUCUUGGACAAAAAUAUGGCCUUUGCAAUUGACACAUCUUCAAGCAAAUUUAUUUUCCUUCGGC